rnacentral:rRNA from 1 species
UACGUAGGGUGCGAGCGUUGUCCGGAAUUAUUGGGCGUAAAGGGCUCGUAGGCGGUUUGUCGCGUCGGGAGUGAAAAACCAUGGGCUUAACUCAUGGCUUGCUUCCGAUACGGGCAGACUAGAGGUAUGCAGGGGGAGAACGGAAUUCCUGGUGUAGCGGUGAAAAUGCGCAGAUAUCAGGAGGAACACCGGUGGCGAAGGCGGUUCUCUGGGCAUUACCUGACGCUGAGGAGCGAAAAGUGUGGGGGAGCGAACAGG